GACGAACGCUGGCGGCGUGCUUAACACAUGCAAGUCGAACGGAAAGGCCCUGCUUUUGUGGGGUGCUCGAGUGGCGAACGGGUGAGUAACACGUGAGUAACCUGCCCUUGACUUUGGGAUAACUUCAGGAAACUGGGGCUAAUACCGGAUAGGAGCUCCUGCUGCAUGGUGGGGGUUGGAAAGUUUCGGCGGUUGGGGAUGGACUCGCGGCUUAUCAGCUUGUUGGUGGGGUAGUGGCUUACCAAGGCUUUGACGGGUAGCCGGCCUGAGAGGGUGACCGGCCACCUUGGGACUGAGAUACGGCCCAGACUCCUACGGGAGGCAGCAGUGGGGAAUAUUGCACCAUGGGCGGAAGCCUGAUGCAGCAACGCCGCGUGCGGGAUGACGGCCUUCGGGUUGUAAACCGCUUUCGCCUGUGACGAAGCGUGAGUGACGGUAAUGGGUAAAGAAGCACCGGCUAACUACGUG
rnacentral:rRNA from 1 species